UACGUAGGGUGCUAGCGUUGUUCGGAAUCAUUGGGCGUAAAGCGCGUGUAGGCGGUCAACUAAGUCGGGUGUGAAAUCCCUGGGCUCAACCGAGGAAGUGCAUCCGAAACUAGUUGGCUGGAAGAUGGUAGAGGAAGGUGGAAUUCCAAGUGUAGAGGUGAAAUUCGUAGAUAUUUGGAGGAAUACCGGUGGCGAAGGCGGCCUUCUGGACCAUUCUUGACGCUGAGACGCGAAAGCGUGGGGAGCAAACAGG
rnacentral:rRNA from 2 species